GUAAGAAUCAUCGCCCCGACGAAGAGGGGUUUAAAAC
rnacentral:other from 20 species